rnacentral:rRNA from 1 species
AGCGGAGGGGUUCCACACGUACCCAUCCCGAACACGACCGUUAAGCCCUCCAGCGCCGAUGGUACUUGGACCGAAGGGUCCUGGGAGAGUAGGACACCGCCAAGC